rnacentral:rRNA from 1 species
CCUACGGGCGGCAGCAGUGGGGAAUAUUGGGCAAUGGGCGCAAGCCUGACCCAGCAACGCCGCGUGAAGGAAGAAGGCCCUCGGGUUGUAAACUUCUUUUCUGAGGGACGAAGAAAGUGACGGUACCUCAGGAAUAAGCCACGGCUAACUACGUGCCAGCAGCCGCGGUAAUAGGUAGGUGGCAAGCGUUAUCCGGAUUUAUUGGGUGUAAAGGGCGCGUAGGCGGGAAAGCAAGUCCGAUGUGAAAACUCAGGGCUCAACCCUGAGCCUGGAUUUGAAACUGUUUUGCGUGAGUGCUGGAGAGGCAAUCGGAAUGCGGGGUGUAGCGGUGAAAUGCGUAGAUAUAAGGAAGAACACCAGUGGCGAAGGCAGAUUGCUGGACAGUAACUGACGCUGAGGCACGAAAGCGUGGGGAGCGAACAGGAUUAGAUACCCGAGUAGUC